rnacentral:lncRNA from 1 species
UUUUUGAUUGCAAAAAAAAAUGGUUUUUAAUAAUAUAUUUUUUUGCAAAAUGUGAAAGAAUUUUAUAAAAUUCAUACUUCAUUUUGUUUUUAGACCAACAGGUGUUUUUUAUUUUGCAGUCAAAUGACAGAAUAUUUGAUUUCUAAUCCCAGUUUGUUGCUGCAUCAUUUUGUACUAAUAACUGAACAAAUUUAGCUGAAAAACAGUUUAGUUACUCUAUUUGCAAUUAAAAAAAAGUAUAUAAUAUUAUAAGGAAGCUUUUAUGAUGUUUGUAUGAUAACAGAUAAAAUGUUUUUUAACCAGAUAAAAGUGACAAUUUGCAUUUUAUACUAUACCUCUAGUUUGUCUAUGGUAAGAACUCCCCUUGCCACAAAGUCUGAGGCUUUAUGCUGCUAUGGAAACAAGACUAGCGCAUUUCAGGGAGGGUAGCUUCUCGUCACUCUAGAGCUAACACAAUAGACCGAAGAAAAAGUUCAUUUCUCUUGCUGACUGGAGCCAAAACUUACCCUAAACAGUGACCCCACACCCCUACCUGAAAUAGUUUUACCUCGUUACCAAAGUCACCGCCACAGGUCCAGACGAAUGGCAUGGGACUUCAAACAAACUCUAUUUGUUUGAUAACCAUUGGUUAAAAGUUACAUUGUAAAUUCGUUCUGUAGCUCCACAGCAUGUUAUUGUAUACUUCUCUAAUUACAAUGUUUCCUUAAUUAAAAUUUGAUAUUCUGAUGUGAUUCCUAACACGUCUUCUGAAAAAGAUAGAUCAGAUUUGGAACAGCUUCGAAAGGCCGUAGAUUCAUCUGCACGUCCUCAAAAUUUAGAGAUAAGUCAUAGAUGGUCUAAAGCAGACUCAGAUACUGAAAUCUCAGAGUUAUCAAAAAGUCUAACUGAUUCAGAUCCAGUGGUUUCAUCAUUGAAAGAAAAGAUCAAAUCUCUUGAAGAUCAAGAUAAGAAUGUUCGGUGUCUCAUUUGUUUGUUAGAACCUAUUACUGGAAUUAAUUGUCAUCCUUGGCCUUCUAAACAAAUUAGUACUACUUUUCUGAUAACUUUAAUUUUUAGUUCAAACUUUUUUAUUGAUUUUAAUUACAUAGGUUUAUAGAAACAUUUUUUAAAGCAUAUAUCUAUAAAAAAUUUAACGCAGUUUCAGAUAAUACAAAUUUAGUGACUGU